UUAAAAAAAAAAAAAAAAAGAAUCCCUCGUAUCUCAUGCUGUCAUGCAGUUAAUUGUGCUUUCAAAUUUUCAUGAAACCAUGAAUUUCUUAGCAACCUCAUUUUUUCAGUAUUUAAUAAAAUCAAUCUAGUAACAGAACAACCAAAAAAGGAGUCGUCUAUCCAAAGAAGGCGUACUGGAAAACCAUGGACUUCCCAAAGGAAUGCUGAGAAGCACCAAACUGCAACUAUCGAUUACUUGUUAUUAUACAGAAAGCGCAUUGCUGAUUAUCAAAUUAAGCACAAUUGGUCAUCCCAAUAAAAAGCCCCCAAAUUUGUGUAUUUUACCUUGAAAAAUAAUAUAUCAAUCACCAAAAGCAAAUAUCAAAAACAAAACACCGAAAUUAAACUAAUUAAGCUGAGAGCAAGCGGCCAAAACCAUAUACCGUAUUCGAAUAGCUGGGUUCAG
rnacentral:misc_RNA from 1 species